rnacentral:sRNA from 1 species
AUUAGCGAAAUUUUGCGCUGAGUAGGUCGUCCCCUAAACUUCAGGGGUUGCCGUGAGCAGACCUCGGCCGGCGCGCAUAAGCUUUGCUUGGUCGGCCCCGCGUG